rnacentral:misc_RNA from 1 species
GCAAAAUGUAAAAUUAUGUAGCAAAAUCUACGAGGAUGUGUCUGGCUUUAGACAAAGUAGCAUGGAAGGAAGCAAAAUACAAUAUGAUUGUAUGCAUACCUGAAACUACAGAGAUCAAAUUGUCUUCCCUGUCGAUCCUAAGCCAUAUUGGGUGAUUGUGCAAAGCAAAUCAUGUCAAAUAGCCAUAGCUUCAACGAUGACGCACUGAACUGUGGGGAACUUUCCUUGGGGUGAGGUGCAAUAUCUUUGUUUCCAUUAAAUCAAGAUCUCAUUGGCUAACUUUCCUCUGUUCAAUGAAAUGUUUCUCAUUGACAGUAAUUCAAUAAAUAAAGUAACUAUCAUGUCAAAAACAUGUCAAUCUCAAUUAUUAUACCAAACUAUAAUUAUCAGAAUAGUUGGAUAAUUGGAUAGAAAAAAUACUAAUUAGAGGAUUGGAUGACAAGUACAAAAUAAGAAACUACUUUGCAAUUGCAGGAACCAAAGAUAGCGUAAAAGAGCAUUUACAUUCGAAAGAACCAAGUUCCUUGGUAGAUGUACUGUUUGCUUCUCUAACCAAUAUAUUUGAUAUUGCCAUUCAAUAAACUGAAAACAAAAAAUAUAUCAAAGAAAACCUUCCCAUAGGCCAUACCAUUACCCACUUUACCUGUGCGUCAAAUAAGUAAAUUAUGCCAGAAGAUAUGCUUGCUGUCACUGUAGUUCCCCUAUAAUGUAGUCUAUGUCGGCUUCUUCCAUCCUUUAUCCGAAGACAAACUUCAUGGAAAUCACUUUCUUUCCAGCGUAUGUCAACUGUCAACCCUCCACGUGCCCUUAAUCCUUUUACAGAUCCAUUCAUCCAUUUAUCUCGGGGUAGUGCAGGAAGCAGGUAAAAAUCAUUCAAGGUACUCUGAAUGAACAUUUCUGCAACUGCGUUUGUAAAACUGAAUCCAAAAGUGGUAGACAUAACAUCUAUUGAUCAUUAGUCUUGUAUGUACAUGCAUAUAUGUGGUCCUUUUGAAGUUGGUGCUAUCUGUAUCAAUCAAGAGCAUUUAAAACUAGAACCUUUUGAGAGAGAAUUUUGAGAUUCAAUCAAAAAAUAAAUAAAUAAAUAAACGAUCAACAAGCAAAGUGUUGAACCAAACAGAGAGGUGAGGCUGCUUCUAGUCAUUAAAUCGGAACAUGAUUAAUACAUGAUAUGUUCUAGGCAAACUGAUGCAAUUUGGUCCAGCAAAGGCUAAGCACAUUCAUUGAUAAGUUAUUCUGAUGUUUGCAACACAUCCAUUGAUAAUACAACAACGCAGCUUACCCAAAGUUGGCAUCAAUCUGAAAAGGCGGGUGUGCUGCAAAUAAGUUGCUGUAUAAUCCACCUUCAAAAGCUACCUCAUGAUCUGGAUCCACCAA